rnacentral:rRNA from 1 species
GACGAACGCUGGCGGCGUGCCUAAUACAUGCAAGUAGAACGCUGAAGGAGGAGCUUGCUCUUCUGGAUGAGUUGCGAACGGGUGAGUAACGCGUAGGUAACCUGCCUGGUAGCGGGGGAUAACUAUUGGAAACGAUAGCUAAUACCGCAUAAGAGUAGAUGUUGCAUGACAUUUGCUUAAAAGGUGCAAUUGCAUCACUACCAGAUGGACCUGCGUUGUAUUAGCUAGUUGGUGAGGUAACGGCUCACCAAGGCAACGAUACAUAGCCGACCUGAGAGGGUGAUCGGCCACACUGGGACUGAGACACGGCCCAGACUCCUACGGGAGGCAGCAGUAGGGAAUCUUCGGCAAUGGACGGAAGUCUGACCGAGCAACGCCGCGUGAGUGAAGAAGGUUUUCGGAUCGUAAAGCUCUGUUGUAAGAGAAGAACGAGUGUGAGAGUGGAAAGUUCAC